rnacentral:misc_RNA from 1 species
GUUUUUUUGCUUUAUUAUUUUAGGUUUCUUCAAUGAAUUUGACUACAGUUUUGAACUGGAACAGACAGUCACAAAGAAAAUUAGGUGGAGCAAUAGGCUGUCUUGUCUCAACCAACCCAAACAUAGGAAAAUGAAAUUAAGCUUCAAUAAAAGAUCAAACACUUGGAUUGAAAUGGUUGAUUGCUCGCUUAUUAUAUGAAAGCCAUAACAUAAUUAAGCAUCAUUAUAAGAGAAAUUAAAGAGUCUUGAAACUGAGUACACUUGUCAUCAUCAUUUAUGUGUAGAAUCUAUAUGUGGAGGCGUCAGUGACAAUAUUCCGGAAUCCACCAAUUGUAGAUGCUACCAUUAUGAACACUCCAGUGAAUAUGGAAGCCCAGUUGAUAAACCA